rnacentral:rRNA from 1 species
GACGAACGCUGGCGGCGUGCUUAACACAUGCAAGUCGAACGGAAAGGCCCUGCUUUUGUGGGGUGCUCGAGUGGCGAACGGGUGAGUAACACGUGAGUAACCUGCCCUUGACUUUGGGAUAACUUCAGGAAACUGGGGCUAAUACCGGAUAGGAGCUACUGCUGCAUGGUGGGGGUUGGUAAGUUUCGGCGGUUGGGGAUGGACUCGCGGCUUAUCCGCUUGUUGGUGGGGUAGUGGCUUACCAAGGCUUUGACGGGUAGCCGGCCUGAGAGGGUGACCGGCCACAUUGGGACUGAGAUACGGCCCAGACUCCUACGGGAGGCAGCAGUGGGGAAUAUUGCACAAUGGGCGGAAGCCUGAUGCAGCAACGCCGCGUGCGGGAUGACGGCCUUCGGGUUGUAAACCGCUUUCGCCUGUGACGAAGCGUGAGUGACGGUAAUGGGUAAAGAAGCACCGGCUAACUACGUG